GGAACUAUUUCAGAGCCAGAGGAGGAUAGUGGCGGCGGCGAACUUUGCCCGGUAGAUUUUACUGACUGGGGUGCUGGCGCGCGCCUUUUUCUCGGCCAGAAUCCAGUUAUUGGGAUAGUCUUGACUUCUACCUCAGCCCAACUUCUGUGGUCGUAAUAUUAGUUUAGCUUGGGUUUGCCGUGAAGUAAGAAGACUGACUUCCGCAAAGGUACUGAACGACUGGGUGUAGGUGCCAGGGCAUGGACGUGAAGCUGGAACCGCGAAAUGAGUUAGUUGUGGGCCGCUGGCCUCAAGGAGCGAACGUCAGCGCGAAGAGGAGAAGCUUGUGCAUACGCUCUGAUAAGGGUUUUAAUAGAGGUAUUACCACAGUGCUGCGUGACACGGUUGAGAGAGUGGUCAGAAGAAGCUAAUGAAAGGAAUUGAAGCAGUGCCUUAGGGGAGUAGGAGUACUUUUGGAGAUAGCAAAGGACUUUCUAGGCAAAGUGGAAGUCAAAGCACGGAUGCCUGAAAAUUCAUAGUGUGAUAGUGCAGUGAGUAAUGUAUCUAGAGAAGGGGUCUUAAACCCAGAUGCCUAGACUGGCGAGAGAAAAUAAAUUAUCUUAUGCAAGCUGAGCCUAAACAAAUGGUGGAAGUUACUACGAUGGAUAAGUGAGCAUUAAGUUCAUCUGAAAGGAGAAUUUGAUACCCAAAUCCAACCCAUUUCUCUAGGAGAAUGAGCACCCAGUUUCUGAGAUGUCUUCGUUUCUCAGGAAAAUCCAGAAAUCCUGGGUUUUAUGUGAAACUUAAUUUAUAAGUGUUGCUAACUAAUUAAAAUUCAAAAAUGUCU
rnacentral:lncRNA from 1 species